rnacentral:rRNA from 1 species
GUUGUUCGGAAUUACUGGGCGUAAAGGGCGCGCAGGCGGCCUUCUAAGUCGAACGUGAAAUCCCUGGGCUCAACCCAGGAACUGCGUCCGAUACUGGAAGGCUUGAAUCCGGGAGAGGGAUGCGGAAUUCCAGGUGUAGCGGUGAAAUGCGUAGAUAUCUGGAGGAACACCGGUGGCGAAGGCGGCAUCCUGGACCGGUAUUGACGCUGAGGCGCGAAAGCCAGGGGAGCAAACGGG